ACCUAAAUAACCUAGUUUUGUGUAAUUCGCCUACGCAGACUUAAAACAAAGUGAAAUGUGGAUCUCGACCCACUAGAAAAUCUUCCAACGGGAUUUUCCGAAUCAAAUGGUGAGGGUCAUUUAUUUUGAGUAAAAUAGUGGGAGCAUAUUUAAUUAAAGGCCUAAUUUAAUAUGUUAUUGAUACUUAUAUUUUCAUUAUUU
rnacentral:lncRNA from 1 species